AUUGAACGCUGGCGGCAGGCCUAACACAUGCAAGUCGAGCGCGCGGCGGACGGGUGAGUACUGUCUGGGAAACUGCCUGAUGGCGGGGGAUAACUCCUGGAAACGGUAGCUAAUACCGCAUACCAUCAGAUGUGCCCAGAUGGGAUUUGCUAGUAGGUGGGGUAACGGCCCACCUAGGCGACGAUCCCUAGCUGGGCUGAGAGGAUGACCAGCCACACUGGAACUGAGACACGGUCCAGACUCCUACGGGAGGCAGCAGUGGGGAAUAUUGCACAAUGGGAGCAAGCCUGAUGCAGCCAUGCCGCGUGUGUGAAGAAGGCCUUCGGGUUGUAAAGCACUUUCAGCGGGGAGGCGUUACCCGCAGAAGAAGCACCGGCUAACUCCGUGCCAGCAGCCGCGGUAAUAC
rnacentral:rRNA from 1 species